rnacentral:tRNA from 1 species
AAGGCUUUAAGUUAAAUAAACUAAUAGCCUUCAAAGCUGUAAAUAUAGAGAAUUCUUUAAGCCUUA